CGGGUGCACUGAUCCGGCCGGGCCUUUCCCUCUGUGGAACCCCAUGGCCUUCACUGGCUGUGCGGGGGAAACAGGACUUUUACUGUGAAAAAAUUAGAGUGCUCCAGGCAGGCCUAUGCUCGAAUACAUUAGCAUGGAAUAAUAGAAUAGGACGCGUGGUUCUAUUUUGUUGGUUUCUAGGACCGCCGUAAUGAUUAAUAGGGACAGUCGGGGGCAUCAGUAUUCAAUUGUCAGAGGUGAAAUUCUUGGAUCUAUUGAAGACUAACUACUGCGAAAGCAUUUGCCAAGGAUGUUUUCAUUGAUAAGGAACGAAAGUUAGGGGAUCGAAGACGAUCGGAUACCGUCGUAGUCUUAACUAUAAACUAUGCCGACUAGGGAUCGGACGAUGUUAUUUCUUGACGCGUUCGGCACCUUUCGAGAAAUCAAAGUGCUUGGGCUCCAGGGGGAGUAUGGUCGCAAGGCUGAAACUUAAAGAAAUUGACGGAAGGGCACCACCAGGGGUGGAACCUGCGGCUUAAUUUGACUCAACACGGGGAAACUCACCAGGUCCAGACACAGUGAGGAUUGACAGAUUGAGAGCUCUUUCUUGAUUCUGUGGGUGGUGGUGCAUGGCCGUUCUUAGUUGGUGGAGUGAUUUGUCUGCUUAAUUGCGAUAACGAACGAGACCUUAACCUGCUAAAUAGCCCGUACUGCUCUGGCAGUUCGCCGGCUUCUUAGAGGGACUAUCGG
rnacentral:rRNA from 1 species